rnacentral:rRNA from 1 species
GACGAACCGUGCGAACGUUGUUCGGAAUCACUGGGCUUAAAGGGCGCGUAGGCGGCCGAGCGGGUCGUGGGUGAAAUCCCCCAGCUUAACUGGGGAAGUGCUUACGAUACCACUACGGCUGGAGGAAGGCAGGGGCACUUGGAACUGUCGGUGGAGCGGUGAAAUGCGUUGAUAUCGACAGGAACGCCGGUGGCGAAAGCGGAGUGCUGGUCCUUUUCUGACGCUGAGGCGCGAAAGCCAGGGGAGCAAACGGG